ACGCCAGUGGCCACCUGGAGGACGGCGCUCAUGGUGUUGGACACUUCAAACACGGCUUCCUUGUCCUCCUGGGAGGCACGUGGCAGGAGGCACCAUUAUUUGCUUGUCACGCAGACAGCAACGCUGUGAACUGGGUACCAAUACUAUCCUGCUACAGAGAGGAAGAACUGAGGCCCAGAGCAGAUCUGUACCCUGCCCUUGCUGAGAGCGGCAGAGCCCGGGCUGCACCUCGGCAGCCGGAAGUCGAAGCCCUGCUCUAAACCCCGCACGCCACCAGGACCUCUCUGCUGGCUCUGCUGUUCUGAACAUUUGCUGCAGGGACAGUAUUCGAGCCAAGCAUCAUCAACGUUGGGAAGACUCCCUGCUGAUCCAGGUGUCCAGCUCUGGGCUCCCAUGCGAUCCUGGAGAAGCAUCUAGCAGUCUUUCCCUGAAUUGGGAGCACUGUAGUUGUGGCUUCUGGGUCUUCUCCCCCACCCAACUGUGGGCUCCUUGGAAGCAAGGCCUCAUCCUCUUUAUCUCUGUGAACCCCCAACCUCUCCUGUCUUCUCCCACAAAAGCCCCAGAACAGGGCUGCAGCAGGCCCCUAGGUGGGCAGGGAAGCCCUGAGACCAGCUGUGAGCCAUGUGGUCCUGACAACUGAGUGCUGUGGCAAACCCCUGGGAUCUACCUGCUAGUGUCUGAGGUCUGACAUCCCCUCCUGGGAGGUCAAAUGUCAAAGCCAGAGGUACUUUGCAAAUAUGAGGUCACAUUCCUGAGUACCCAGCAACAUAGAGGGAUCAAACCCUUUGGCAAAUGAAUUGAGGCUGGAAAGGGUGUUGGGGAAGUGUUAAAAAAUGCACAGUCUCACUGUUAAAAGCCUCGUGAAUCUGGAUACGUAUGGAUGUGUGUGUGUGUGUGUACGUAUAUGUACAUGUAUACAAUGUAUGUAUCAGCUUUAUUGAGAUUUAAUUGAUACACAAUAAUUACAAAUAUUUAAAGUGUACAAUUCGAUAUGUUUUGACAUAUGUACACCCAUGAAAAUACACCAUAAUCAAAAUAGUGAAUGUACCCAUCAUACCCAAAAUUGUCCUAACCCUCUUCAUAAUCUCCCCCUCCUGCCUCUCCCCAUCCAUCCCCAAGAAAACACUGAUGUGCUUGUAACAAUAGAUUAGCUUACAUUUUCUCUCUAUAUAUACAUGGAAUUAUUAUAUAUAUGAAAUUAUUAUAUAUUUUUUGAUCUGUC